rnacentral:tRNA from 1 species
GCCUGGGUGGCUCAGUUGGGUAAGCAUCCGACUUCAGCUCAGGUCAUGAACUCACUGCUCGUGAGUUCAAGCCUCACAUCAGGCU